rnacentral:rRNA from 1 species
AGUGAACGCUGGCGGCGUGCCUAAUACAUGCAAGUCGAACGGAAUUUAAAAGAGCUUGCUCUUUUAAAUUUAGUGGCGCACGGGUGAGUAAUAUAUAGCUAAUCUGCCCCUUGCUGGAGGACAACAGUUAGAAAUGACUGCUAAUACUCCAUACUCCUUUUUACCAUAAGAUAAAUCGGGAAAGAAUUUCGGCAAGGGAUGAGACUAUAUCGUAUCAGCUAGUCGGUGGGGUAACGGCCUACCGAGGCUAUGACGCGUAACUGGUCUGAGAGGAUGAUCAGUCACAUUGGAACUGAGACACGGUCCAAACUCCUACGGGAGGCAGCAGUAGGGAAUAUUGCGCAAUGGGGGAAACCCUGACGCAGCAACGCCGCGUGGAGGAUGACACUUUUCGGAGCGUAAACUCCUUUUGUUAGGGAAGAAUAAUGACGGUACCUAACGAAUAAGCACCGGCUAACUCCGUGCCAGCCGCCGCCGUAACAC